UUAUAAAAAUUACAAAGAAAAAACAGAAAAAUGUUACAAUAAAAAUAGAAUUUGAUUUCUUGGCUUCCAGUAAAGUGAUUCCCUAAAUUCAGAAUUGGCUAAUUUAACUUUGGAUUAAUAUGUUAUUAAGGCCUUGUGCUGGUUUAGCUUGUGCAGCAGUGAUUCUAAUUUGGACUAAUAUCGUUCCUUAUGAGCGUAGCAAAAGAAAGGAAAUCAUCUCUGACAUCCAUUCACGAAGAACCAGAAAAGUGGAUCGAAGGAUCACAUACAACAAAAUAGUGAAUUACUUUUUAGGAGUUUCAAAGAAGAAAAAAAAGAAAAGAAGGAAAAGACCUAUGACAAAAUAAAAUCUUCUGUCCAAGGGAUUUUUCUUUGUUGCAUUAGUUAGAAGAAAUAUUGUUGCCAACAAAUGCCCA